rnacentral:rRNA from 1 species
GAUCAUGGCUCAGGAUGAACGCUGGCGGCGUGUUAACACAUGCAAGUCGAACGAAGCGUCCCGCCCGAUGAAGUGGAGUGCUUGCACAAAGUGGAUCAAUUGGGAUGACUUAGUGGCGGACGGGUGAGUAACGCGUGGGUAACCUGCUUACACAGGGGGACAACAGUUGGAAACGACUGCUAAUACCGCAUAACCCGCUAGUACCGCAUGGUACAGACGGAAAAGAUUUAUCGGUGUAAGAUGGACCCGCGUCUGAUUAGAUAGUUGGUGAGGUAACGGCUCACCAAGUCGACGAUCAGUAGCCGGCCUGAGAGGGUGAACGGCCACAUUGGGACUGAGACACGGCCCAAACUCCUACGGGAGGCAGCAGUGGGGAAUAUUGGACAAUGGGGGAAACCCUGAUCCAAGCGACGCCGCGUGAGUGAAGAAGUAUUUCGGUAUGUAAAGCUCUAUCAGCAGGGAAGAAAAUGACGGUACCUGACUAAGAAGCCCCGGCUAACUACGUGCCAGCAGCCGC